rnacentral:tRNA from 1 species
GCUAGCGUAGCUUAAAUUAAAGCAUGACACUGAAGAUGUUAAGAUGGUCCCUAGAAAGCCCCGCAGGCA